CGGUGGGCGGGAACGCGUGAGGCGGCCGCGGGUGGAGCCCGUGAGGGGCCGGGUAUGGUGGGUACGGCCGGACCUGCAGAACCUCGAGCCGGAACCGCGAGGCGGGCACCUCGAGCCGUCGUGAGGUGCUCCCGACCAGCCCUGGGCCGGGCGGGAUGUGUGCAGGAAUCCCAGCUGGCCCGGACAGGGCUGCCGAGAAUUGCUACAGCAUCACCUGUGUGGGCCGGUACGGACAGACAAGCACCAGGGACUUGGGGCUGAGUGCGGUAAGGGAGGCCAAACCACGACUUGCUACCUGAGGUUUACCCUGUUUUCUAGUACUUGAUGACAGCAGCCUCAGUAUUCUGAUAUUACGUGCCAGUUCUCACAACACUAGGUUAUAGCCUUGCGUGGCCAAACUAGAUAUUAAGGUGCCAAGCUUUGGCAGACACUUUUAACACUGUAGUUUACUACUGGACACAAACGAGUCUGGAAUGGAGAACAGAAAAACAUAUUGGUUACAUGUAUCUUUUAGUCACCUUCAUUGCAAUGUUAGUCUCCUUCAAGAAAUUUCCUCCUACGGCGACUUGUGUUGGUUUUAUUGUGACUCAGCCUUCUGCAGCCAUCGCUUGCUGUUUUUCAGCCUGACUCCUCGCUUUGUUCCAGCGUGUUGGAUCAUUCCACGGGAUGCCAGUGUAGCACAACAGCGCCUUGAACCACGUGUAGUGCUGCCUAGGGCUAGAGAAAGUUGCCACCUUGUCCUGUGGUUUCAUGGCCCACAGCUGCUUUCCAGUGAAGCACAAACUGCCAGGCAGCCCCUGCUCAGCUUUAGAACAGCAGGGCUGACAGAGACCUGCACAGCCUCUUGGGGAACCAAACAAAAGCUACAGGAACAAACUGGACCAUCCUGAUAACAUUUUGCCAAGAUGAGGUGCAUUGACAGACUCUGCAACCUGUACCCUUCCCAUGUGCAAGAUCGGCUCAGAUGUAGCAGAACUGCACAGCCUUGGGUCUGAUUUAUGUGAAAAAAGCAAUGCUAGGAGAGGAAAACACGGGCAGAAGCGUAACUGGGGCCUAUGUCAUGCACUUAUCUUUCCCCAUUGGUUUGGGAGCUGGAUUUAAGCUCAGGCCUUUGCCCUUGGUCAUUGCACAACUUCCAAGGCUUAGUAUUACUCUGCUGUAUACACUGAAAUGCUUUUCUUCUUCUCACUACCAAACUCCAUUCAUCUUGAAGGAAAAAGGGAAAAGAAGACAGGCAUAAGGCCUACAACCUUAAAUAUUACUUGAACUUUUCCAUGACAAUGUAGAAAUUUGUUUUGGGGUUUCUUUCCUAUGAGCUCUCUUUUCCCAAACACUGCUUUCUUCUGAUUUUAUUAGGGCUUGAAAUGGGGCUGUUUUAUCACAACUAGAGCAGUUAUAUUAUUAAAGGACAAGUAGAUCAGACCUGUAAAUUAUAAACACAAAGUACAAGUUAGAGUGAUCUUUGGUUUCAUUCUGGUUAAUAAAAAUUCAGCAGACCAGCUAGCUCUCCAAGGCACCACUUGCACCAUUUUUAUUAACUCCCAGAACAUGCGGCUUUACAAGCAAAUGCCAGAGUAUUACUGCUAGUUUGUGGGGGGUUGUAACAUUAUAUAAUAAAUGCCAGAAGAGCUGGAGUGAUACACCACAACAGCUAUAACAAUAAAGGCUAUAUAAAAGCAGCAAUAAAGUUGCUUUGAGUGAAGGA